rnacentral:rRNA from 1 species
AUCGAACGCUGGCGGCAUGCCUAACACAUGCAAGUCGAACGUGCGGCGGACGGGCGAGCAAUGUCUGGGAAACUGCCUGACGGAGGGGUCUAACUACUGGAAACGGUAGCUAACACUGCCUACCAUCGGAUGUGCCUAGGCGGGACUAGCUAGUAGGUGGGGUAAAGGCUCACCUAGGCGACGAUCCCUAGCUGGUCUGAGAGGGUGACCAGCCACACUGGAACUGAGACACGGUCCAGACUCCUACGGGAGGCAGCAGUAGGGAAUAUUGCACAAUGGGCGCAAGCCUGAUGCAGCCAUGCCGCGUGUAUGAAGAAGGCCUUCGGGUUGUAAAAUACUUUCAGCAGAGAGGCGUUACCCGCAGAGAAAGCACCGGCUAACUCCGUGCCAGCAGCCGCGGUAAUAC